rnacentral:rRNA from 1 species
GAUGAACGCUGGCGGCGUGCCUAAUACAUGCAAGUCGAGCGAACAGACGAGGAGCUUGCUCCUCUGACGUUAGCGGCGGACGGGUGAGUAACACGUGGAUAACCUACCUAUAAGACUGGGAUAACUUCGGGAAACCGGAGCUAAUACCGGAUAAUAUAUUGAACCGCAUGGUUCAAUAGUGAAAGACGGUUUUGCUGUCACUUAUAGAUGGAUCCGCGCCGCAUUAGCUAGUUGGUAAGGUAACGGCUUACCAAGGCAACGAUGCGUAGCCGACCUGAGAGGGUGAUCGGCCACACUGGAACUGGGAAACGGUCCAGGCUCCUACGGGAGGCAGCAGUAGGGAAUCCUCCGCAAUGGGCGAAAGCUUGACGGAGCAAAGCCGCGUGGGUGAUGAAGGUCUUCGGAUCGUAAAACUCUGUUAUUAGGGAAGAACAAAUGUGUAAGUAACUAUGCACGUCUUGACGGUACCUAAUCAGAAAGCCACGGCUAACUACGUG